rnacentral:rRNA from 1 species
UACGUAGGGUGCGAGCGUUAAUCGGAAUUACUGGGCGUAAAGCGCGCGCAGGCGGUUCUUCAAGUCAGAGGUGAAAGCCCAGAGCUCAACUCUGGAAUGGCCUUUGAGACUAGAGAACUAGGGUACGGCAGAGGUGAGUGGAAUUCCGAGUGUAGAGGUGAAAUUCGUAGAUAUUCGGAAGAACACCAGUGGCGAAGGCGGCUCACUGGCCCGUUACCGACGCUCAGGCGCGACAGCGUGGGGAGCAAACAGG